rnacentral:rRNA from 1 species
AGAACGAACGCUGGCGGCAUGCCUAAUACAUGCAAGUCGAACGAGAUCUUCGGGUCUAGUGGCGCACGGGUGCGUAACGCGUGGGAAUCUACCCUUGGGUUCGGAAUAACAGUUGAAACGACUGCUAAUACCGGAUGAUGACGAAAGUCCAAAGAUUUAUCGCCCAGGGAUGAGCCCGCGUAGGAUUAGCUAGUUGGUGAGGUAAAGCUCACCAAGGCUACGAUCCUUAGCUGGUCUGAGAGGAUGAUCAGCACACUGGGACUGAGACACGGCCCAGACUCCGUACGGGAGCAGCAGUAGGAAUAGUGACAAGUGGGGCAACCGUGAUCCAGCAAUGCCGCGUGAGUGAUGAACGGUCCUUAGGUAGUAAAGCUUACGUUUUACCGAGAUGAACUAAGUAGACUAGUAGUACGGAGAAUAAGCUACCGGCUAACCGUCCGUCGACGACGCGACGCCGUACGGUAACUCGUGGACGCGGGUAC